rnacentral:rRNA from 1 species
AAGUCGAGCGGCAGCGGGAAGAAGCUUGCUUCUUUGCCGGCGAGCGGCCGGACGGGUGAGUAAUGUCUGGGGAUCUGCCCGAUGGAGGGGGAUAACUACUGGAAACGGUAGCUAAUACCGCAUAACGUCGCAAGACCAAAGUGGGGGACCUUCGGGCCUCACACCAUCGGAUGAACCCAGAUGGGAUUAGCUAGUAGGUGGGGUAAUGGCUCACCUAGGCGACGAUCCCUAGCUGGUCUGAGAGGAUGACCAGCCACACUGGAACUGAGACACGGUCCAGACUCCUACGGGAGGCAGCAGUGGGGAAUAUUGCACAAUGGGGGAAACCCUGAUGCAGCCAUGCCGCGUGUGUGAAGAAGGCCUUCGGGUUGUAAAGCACUUUCAGCGGGGAGGAAGGCGAUGGCGUUAAUAGCGCCAUCGAUUGACGUUACCCGCAGAAGAAGCACCGGCUAACUCCGUGCCAGCAGCCGCGGUAAUACGGAGGGUGCGAGCGUUAAUCGGAAUUACUGGGCGUAAAGCGUACGCAGGCGGUCUGUUAAGUCAGAUGUGAAAUCCCCGGGCUCAACCUGGGAACUGCAUUUGAAACUGGCAGGCUAGAGUCUCGUAGAGGGGGGUAGAAUUCCAGGUGUAGCGGUGAAAUGCGUAGAGAUCUGGAGGAAUACCGGUGGCGAAGGCGGUCCCCUGGACGAAGACUGACGCUCAGGUACGAAAGCGUGGGGAGCAAACAGGAUUAGAUACCCUGGUAGUCCACGCUGUAAACGAUGUCGAUUUGAAGGUUGUGGCCUUGAGCCGUGGCUUUCGGAGCUAACGCGUUAAAUCGACCGCCUGGGGAGUACGGCCGCAAGGUUAAAACCCAAAUGAAUUGACGGGGGCCCGCACAAGCGGUGGAGCAUGUGGUUUAAUUCGAUGCAACGCGAAGAACCUUACCUACUCUUGACAUCCAGAGAACUUGGCAGAGAUGCCUUGGUGCCUUCGGGAACUCUGAGACAGGUGCUGCAUGGCUGUCGUCAGCUCGUGUUGUGAAAUGUUGGGUUAAGUCCCGCAACGAGCGCAACCCUUAUCCUUUGUUGCCAGCGAUUCGGUCGGGAACUCAAAGGAGACUGCCGGUGAUAAACCGGAGGAAGGUGGGGAUGACGUCAAGUCAUCAUGGCCCUUACGAGUAGGGCUACACACGUGCU